CGUUGUUUUCGAUUUACAACAACAGUCAGAUCCAAAUCGAAACACCAGUCAUAUCAUAAUACAACAAAAUAAAACGACUGAGAACAUAUUUCAAAAUGGAUACACCGAGCUAUAUGAAACUAAGAAGUCGUGUUGUUCCACUCAGUCCAGUUAAAGAAAGGAUUCGCAAACGCAAAAACAGCUUAGAUCCCAUUUCCAUGCAAGCAAAUAAAAAAAUUAAAGUUAGUCUGGGAAGCUUGGAAAUGGAUUCAUCUAAAGCCAGUGGUUCGGAUGAAGAAAAUGAUGAGGGUGUGAUUUUCGUAUCCAAUUCACGCGAUCCCUUAGAAUAUAUUGACUUGACUGAGCAAUAUUAAAUGUUCAGGUUUUAUUUUUCGAUUAUAUGUUAUAAAAAAUAUUUGCUUUGCUUGUUCAAGUUAUUAUAUUUUUUUAAUUAUGCUGUUAUAUACUUACGAACUAAGUGAACCAACAUGGGAAGAACAUUGAUCCCUGUUGGGGUUAUGUAGAGCACACCACGCGAUCCAAAGCCCAGCACUACAAAACCUCGACUUGCCAAAUCGCGAGAUAGCAAGGAGCAUCAAGAAAUUGAAUCCUACUCACGAAAGCAAUCCGAAAGCUAUGCAACCCAAGCAAGAGAAGAUAUUGGCAUUGAAAGGGAAAACAGCAAGAGAGAACUAAUAAUAAAGCUGUUGGGGUUAAUUGAGUUUUUUCAACUUUAAUAAAACAAUCAAAUUGAAAUAUAGUUACACUAA